rnacentral:rRNA from 1 species
GACGGAGGAUGCAAGUGUUAUCCGGAAUCACUGGGCGUAAAGCGUCUGUAGGUGGUUUAAAAAGUCCACUGUUAAAGAUUGAAGCUUAACUUCAAAAUGCCGUGGAAACUUUAAACUUGAGUAUGAUGAGGGGUAGAGGGAAUUUCCCAGGUGGAGCGGUGAAAUGCGUAGAUAUUGGAAAGACCACCAAUGGCGAAGGCACUCUACUGGGCCAUUACUGACACUGAGAAGACGAAAGCUAGGGGAGCAAAUGGG